rnacentral:hammerhead_ribozyme from 1 species
AUCUAGUUGACGAGUCCCAAAUAGGACGAAAUGCGUAUCCUGGAU